rfam:Ovis aries breed Texel chromosome 9, whole genome shotgun sequence.
UCCUUGGUGGUCUGGUGGAUAAGACUCUGAACUCCAAAUGCAGGGGGCACAGGUUCGAUCCCUGGUCAGGGAG